UACGGAGGGGGCUAGCGUUGUUCGGAAUUACUGGGCGUAAAGCGCACGUAGGCGGCUUUGCAAGUUAGAGGUGAAAGCCCAGGGCUUAACCCUGGAAUUGCCUUUAAAACUGCAUCGCUAGAAUUGUGGAGAGGUAAGUGGAAUUCCGAGUGUAGAGGUGAAAUUCGUAGAUAUUCGGAAGAACACCAGUGGCGAAGGCGGCCCGCUGGCAGUGGCUGACGCUGAGGCGCGACAGCGUGGGAGCAACAGG
rnacentral:rRNA from 1 species